AACGAAUCAAAAACGAAUGGACAAGAACUGUCAUAUUCCUGACUUGGUACAGACAUUUUCAAAUGUAGAAAAUGGUGGAUUAAACCUGGUUCUAUAGCGCUAACCCUCUCACUUUAAUGACAGUCUCAUCAAAUUCCGUUAUAUUUACAUUGAUGCGUUAAAUAAACAGACACAAUAAAUAAAAUAGUCAAAAUGUGGGUACAUCAGUCAUCAUCAUAUAACAAUUUUAAAAGGACCAAUUUAACAGAACACAAAAAC
rnacentral:lncRNA from 1 species